CAACUACUUCUUGUGUGCUAAUUGAUCACUGACUCUUCUCACAACAACCCAUGGAGUGAGAUCUAUUACUGUUCUCAUUUUCACAGGUACUGAGCCUUAUCACAGGCACUGAGGAUAUAACACUUAAGACAGAUAAGAUGCACAGUUAUAUGGAGCCUACCUUCCAGUCAGAGGAGACAGAAUCUGUGCCGCAGAGGUACUCAAAAGACAAAAUAACACCAUCUGACACCUUGAAUUACUGAGUAAACUUUUGUACCACUGAAAACUCACAUCAGGUGCUUGGACAGAAUUGUAGGGGGAGGACAGCCCUUGUCAUCUGGUGUAGGAUAAAAGACAUCUCUACAGAAGCUACCAACAGUCUGAGAUUUAUUUCUUUGGAUGACCACAGAUGUACUGCUGAGAUAAAACC